CCCUUAGAUGUUCUGGGCCGUACGCGCGCUACACUGAUGCAUUCAACGAGUCUAAAACCUGGUCUGAUAGGGCUGGGUAAUCUUUUGAAAGUGCAUCGUGAUUGGGAUAGAUGAUUGCAAUUCUUCAUCUUCAACGAGGAAUGCCUAGUAAACGCAAGUCAUCAGCUUGCAUUGAUUACGUCCCUGCCCUUUGUACACACCGCCCGUCGCUCCUACCGAUUGAAUGAUCCGAUGAAUACCAUGGAUUGAGAGUACGAAUGGGUUCGCUCAUUUCUGCUGCUCGAGAAGUGGAGUAAAUCUUAUCAUUUAGAGGAAGGAGAAGUCGUAACA
rnacentral:rRNA from 1 species